rnacentral:lncRNA from 1 species
UUCAUUUGUUCACAAGAGGGCAUUCUCAGAUUUUGCUAGUACAAAAUUAUUUUAGUGAUUUUAAGCACAUAGAGACUCUUUUUUUUGAUAUUUUUUGAUAGACCUCUUCUAAGACAUGGCUUCAAGUGAAGGUGAAGGUUUGAGAGUGAUUGAGGAGUUUAGAGGUGGCAAUUUCUACCAUUGGAAGGUCAAAAUGGAGCUUUUAUUGGUGUCUUUGGACCUUUGGGACAUUAUAGAUGAAAGUCAAGAGCCUUCAAGCACGCCGUCGGGAUAGAGAGAGUUUGCCUCAAGAAAACGAUGGGCUUCUGGCUGUCACUAAUUAUUCAAUCA